ACGGGUGAGUAACACGUGGGAACCUUCCUAGGGGUACGGAACAACUCAGGGAAACUUGAGCUAAUACCGUAUACGUCCGUGAGGAGAAAGAUUUAUCGCCCUUAGACGGGCCCGCGUCGGAUUAGCUAGUUGGUGGGGUAACGGCCUACCAAGGCGACGACCCGUAGCUGAUCUUAGAGGAUGAUCAGCCACACUGGGACUGAGACACGGCCCAGACUCCUACGGGAGGCAGCAGUGGGGAAUCUUGGACAAUGGGCGCAAGCCUGAUCCAGCCAUGCCGCGUGAGUGAAGAAGGUCUUCGGAUUGUAAAGCUCUUUUGCCAGGGACGAUAAUGACGGUACCUGGAGAAUAAGCCCCGGCAAACUUCGUGCCAGCAGCCGCGGUAAUACGAAGGGGGCUAGCGUUGUUCGGAAUUACUGGGCGUAAAGCGCACGUAGGCGGGUCGUUAAGUCAGGGGUGAAAUCCCGGAGCUCAACUCCGGAACUGCCUUUGAUACUGGCGAUCUUGAGAUCGGAAGAGGUGAGUGGAAUUCCCAGU
rnacentral:rRNA from 1 species